rnacentral:rRNA from 1 species
UUGUUGAUUAUAAUUUCAAGUCUGACCUGCCCAGUGAGUUAUUAAACGGCCGCGGUAUUUUGACCGUGCAAAGGUAGCAUAGUCACUAGUUUUUUAAUUGAAAGCUUGAAUGAAAGGUUUGAUGAAAAAAAGACUGUCUCUGUAAAAAUUUAUUAGAAUUUUAUUUUUAAGUUAAAAAGCUUAAAUUUAAGUAGAAGACGAGAAGACCCUAUAGAGUUUUAUAUUUUUAGAGUAAAAAAUAUUUAAGGAUUUAGAAAUUUUGUUAUUUGUAAAAAUAUUUUGUUGGGGUGAUAGAAAAAUUAAAUUAACUUUUUUUUUAUUAAUACAUUUAUUUAUGAGUAAAUGAUCCUAAUAUUUAGAUUACAAGAUUAAAUUACCUUAGGGAUAACAGCGUAAUUUUUUUUAGAGUUCUUAUCGAAAAAAAGGAUUGCGACCUCGAUGUUGGAUUAAAAUUAAUUGUUGGUGUAGAAGCUGAUAAAUUAGGUCUGUUCGACCUUUAAAAUUUUACAUGAUCUGAKUUUAAACCGGUGUGA